rnacentral:rRNA from 1 species
UACGAAGGGGGCGAGCGUUGUUCGGAUUUACUGGGCGUAAAGGGCGCGCAGGCGGCAGACCAAGUCAGGCGUGAAAGCCCCGGGCUUAACCUGGGAGGUGCGUCUGGGACUGGUAUGCUAGAGUUCGGGAGAGGAGAGUGGAAUUCCCAGUGUAGAGGUGAAAUUCGUAGAUAUUGGGAAGAACACCAGUGGCGAAGGCGGCUCACUGGACCCGGUAUUGACGCUGAGGUGCGAAAAGCGUGGG